UGGGGAAUAUUGCACAAUGGGCGCAAGCCUGAUGCAGCCAUGCCGCGUGUAUGAAGAAGGCCUUCGGGUUGUAAAGUACUUUCAGCGGGGAGGAAGGUGUUGUGGUUAAUAACCUCAGCAAUUGACGUUACCCGCAGAAGAAGCACCGGCUAACUCCGUGCCAGCAGCCGCGGUAAUACGGAGGGUGCAAGCGUUAAUCGGACUUACUGGGCGUAAAGCGCACGCAGGCGGUCUGUCAAGUCGGAUGUGAAAUCCCCGGGCUCAACCUGGGAACUGCAUCCGAAACUGGCAGGCUUGAGUCUUGUAGAGGGGGGUAGAAUUCCAGGUGUAGCGGUGAAAUGCGUAGAGAUCUGGAGGAAUACCGGUGGCGAAGGCGGCCCCCUGGACAAAGACUGACGCUCAGGUGCGAAAGCGUGGGGAGCAAACA
rnacentral:rRNA from 1 species